rnacentral:lncRNA from 1 species
UUUCCGAUAAUUAAUGGAAUUAUGCGGGAUACUCAUAUACAGAGACCUCGUGCUCCUAGAACUGCAUUCCCUCUUGCUCUUAUUCUCUCACCUACAAGAGAACUAUCUUCCCAGGUGCGAUAUGUUUGGUUUUUUUCCCAGUCGAAAUAUGUUCUUAAUUUCUAGUCUGACUUUUGGCUAAUUUAUUCUAGCUUUUAAUAUGAUUACAGAUACAUGAUGAAGCCAAAAAAUUUUCUUAUCAAACUGGUGUAAGAGUGGUUGUUGCUUAUGGAGGGGCACCAAUUAUGAAUCAGGUUUGUCAAUGUGUAUUGUGCCUUUUCUAUUCUCUUAUGAUACAUUCAUUAUGUUUCUUUUGGACUACUUAGAAGUUGUGCUGUAGAAAGCUGAUAAGUUUACAUUUUGAUCUUACUUUGCUUUAGUAACUUUUUUGUUUGCUUGAACAGUUGAGAGAACUUGAAAGGGGGGUUGAUAUUCUCGUAGCUACUCCGGGUCGAUUGGUUGAUUUGCUUGAGAGGGCUAGGGUGUCAUUGCAGAUGAUCAGAUUCCUUGCACUCGAUGAGGCUGAUAGGAUGCUUGAUAUGGGAUUUGAGCCUCAAAUCAGAAAGAUAGUUGAACAAGUGGACAUGCCUCCAUCUGGGAUGAGGCAGACUAUGCUUUUUAGUGCUACUUUCCCAAAAGAAAUACAGGUAUAAUAUCAUUCCAGAAGUCAUUUUUGGCAUUAAAUUUGUUUGGUGAUAUUUAGACAUGGUAGUGUGAUAUCUUACAGUAGUUUUGGAUACGUACAUGCAGAGACUUGCAUCAGACUUCCUUUCAAAUUACAUUUUCUUGGCUGUUGGAAGGGUUGGCUCCAGCACUGAUUUGAUUCUUCAGAGAGUUGAAUAUGUCCAAGAUGCUGACAAGAGAAGCCAUCUCAUGGACCUUCUUCAUGCACAGAAAGAAAGUGAAGCUAAUAGCAAGGUAAUGUUUUCUCCUUGUUGCACGCUGGAAAUGUUUUGUUCCACCGAAAAAAUGAAGCAAGAUCCUUACCUCUAAAACUUGUUUAUGAAGGCUCAAAAUGAUUAUUUUGUUUAUAAGCAUGUGUUGGGAUCAUUUCAUACUUGUCGGUUUUAUAAGCAACAAAUUCAUAUUGGCUUUUUUCUCGUGUCUGCAGCCAUCCUUGACAUUAGUGUUUGUGGAGACCAAGAAGGGAGCCGAUUCUCUGGAGUAUUGGCUGUGUCAAAGCGGGUUCCCCGCCACUACAAUUCAUGGUGAUAGAUCACAGCAGGUUAGUUUCUUCUGAAUGUUAUAAAGGGACACAAGACAUGCUUCAGUUUUCUGAAGUGGUUGCCUGCCCAUGAUUCUUUUACUUCAGUGCUGAAUUGUGUAUAAACCAUUAGUAGGGGGGUUUUCCAAAGCAAUACAAUGGUAGGUUCUAGUUCAUUUUGUUUUGUAGGAAACCCCAUCGAUGAGGAAAAGCGUCAUGGCUGAAUGUUCUAAACCGUGUUAUUCUUAUAUCCUGUUCAAUGUGUAUGCUAGUGGGCAGUGGCUCUUUUGUAUUUUCGAUAUUUGCGAGUAAUUGCUUUCGAUGUAUCUAGGCAGCUGAUAAUUUUGUUGGACUUUGUUGCAGGAAAGAGAACUUGCAUUGAGAUCCUUCAAGAGUGGAAGGACCCCAAUUCUAGUGGCACCAGACGUAGCGGCUCGUGGUCUAGACAUACCGCAUGUGGCACACGUCGUCAACUUCGACCUCCCCAACGACAUCGACGAUUAUGUCCACAGAAUAGGACGUACCGGACGAGCUGGGAAAUCUGGUCUUGCUACAGCCUUCUUCAACGACAACAACGGCUCAUUGGCAAGGUCACUAGUAGAAUUGAUGCAAGAAGCAAACCAAGAAGUUCCCGCUUGGCUAGUCCGAUACGCGUCACGCUCUUCGUACGGUGGAGGCAAGAAUCGCCGGUCUGGCGGAGGGCGCUUUGGUGGACGAGACAUCAGAAGGGAAGGGUCCUUCAGUAGGGGAGGUGGAGACUAUCACCGCGGCGGGAGCAGCGGUGGUGGCGGUAGUUACGGGGUCCCUGGAGGUGGUUAUGGCAUGGGUUCAGGAGUGACCAGUGCUUGGGAUUAGGCAAGGCAAAUAUUUCUUGUUGAUUUGAACACGUAUAUGGUUCCAGAAUUUCUUAGUAGUAGGCACUUAGGUUCUACUAACAAUGAAGAAGUUGUGUACUGUUUUUUCUUUUUUUGGGUCGUUUUUUGUUCUGGAGGUUGAAUAUGGUUAGUGGUUUGGUGGGUUUUUUCUUUAGCCCUAACUGAAACUGAAUGUCAUUUGUUCUACUGUGUACUGAAAACUAUAUGAAAGCCCACAUCAUUCCUAUUGAGAGAAAAAUUCUACUUCUUUUUACCAUUUUUACACCAAUUUUGACUGUGUAAUGGAUUUACCCUUCCCUGUAAUUAUUCAAUUCAAUCUGCAUAACUAUUGUUGUUCUGUACAGAUGAUUGUGUUGGCCAUAUCAGAAUCCCAAAUUGUACAAAAUUUUAUUACAAAUUACGCAAAUCAUACAUAUUGCAACGACAAGGCAAACUUUAUCCCUUUAUAAAUACUGUAGUUGUAUUCUCAUGAGAUGUUUUUUCAUAAUCAAUAUACUAUUAGGUUUGUUGUACAACCUAUGAGAAUAUGUUUUCGAUCUGUUGUAAAAAGACAAUAUCCAGCUUUCCUCCAAUUAGGUUAUCUGUCAGGUUAUGAUUGGUGGAGAUUUAUGUUUCCUUUUAACAUGUACCAAAUACUACAAGGAUUGACGGAAUUUACCUUACAACUUCAAUCUUUUUGCAUUUGCGAUUAUGCAACACACCAUAUUAUUUUGGUUGAAAGGCUCCCUAUUUUUCGAUGGAUCAACUAAUGCCGGAUGAUGUGACAGUUCAUUAUGAUCAAUAUGAUUAUAGUAUAUUUAAGUAAACACAAAUAUGUAGUAAAUACGAUAGGGAUUAACGACAUCUGUCUUAAAACUCAAGUAUAUUUGUUUUCAUCAUACAUAAAAUUAAAUUUAUAAUUGCAACUUAUAUUAAAAUAAUUCUUCAUCACAUUUUGAGAAACCGAAGCUUCAGGAAUCUACAUAACAUGUUGUAAAAGUAAGAGAAAAAAGAAGAUACAAGAGUGGAAAGAAAAAAAAAAAAAAAUACUAAUGUGUAUUAAUGUGUAUACUUGGUGCAAUAAGAUAACAUUUAUAGUUAUAGAACAAUCUCAAAGGAUUAUAGUAUUACUACACUUGAAUAAGUUCGUGGGCGAGCACGUCAAUACAUACAUGAAUGAGUAGCAAUGAGAUUUCAAAUGACAUUGAAUUAAAUGAUCAAUGUGGAGAUGUGAGCUACACAAAAUUAUGUUUCACAUUCAUCAUGAUGGAUAACAUCUCAGUAUCUGCGGGCGUAUCGGUACCAUCUAUCCUAUAUUAUUGUCAUAUUAUCUAUNNNNNNNNNNNNNNNNNNNNNNNNNNNNNNNNNNNNNNNNUGAAGGUUCUUUGUAUAUAAGCCUUAUGAUAUAGUGUUAGAGGUUUAGAAUAAACGUGAUUUUAAAAAUUUGAGUUUAUAAAGUAAUAUUUGAAGGAUAAAAUUUGGUAUAUAAAGAUUAACAUCAUUCUUUAGUAUGGCAAACGCUAAAAUUCCUCCAUCAAAAGAGCAAAUAGUNNNCUCCAUCAAAAGAGCAAAUAGUUAUUCUCAUUAUCUAUAUUUCGUAGAUAUCGAAGUAUCCGAUAUUUAUAAGCCAUGUUUGAAUUUAAGAGAGAAAAAAAAGAAACACGCAAGAAGGGAAAAAAGAAAGAAACAUAGGGAAGACGUAAAUCUAGAGUCCCUCUUCAAAUCUAAUUUUUUUUUAUUUAAAAAAUGAAUAAUUAUAAAUAUCAUAAAAAUAUCUCAUUUCAUUCUAAAAUUUUUAUUCUCUUUACGUUUUCACGGCUCCUCUGCAAACAAACCGGUAUCUUUUGCGUUCGUAUGUCCGAUUCCCCCAAAAACCAGCUAGGGUUGUGCAUCUCUCUGGAUUCUCUCAUCAUCAAACCCACAGGUUUCUCCUCCUCCCCCUCUCUCGCCUUCUUCUUCUCCCUCCCGCUUUCUCUCUCUGUAUCUAUCGACCUCCUCUAUAUAUAGCCAUUCGCCAUUUCCCUUAUGCUUAGCUGCCUCGAGUAGAAUGCGGGAGAGGGUUAGAUUCCGAUCCCUUCGCGUUUUCUUCUUGCUGUUUUCUUUGUCGGAUUGCUAUUGAUUGUUCUCUUUAGUUAUCGUGAUUAUGAUUGUGUUGCUAGUUUGCUAUCCGAGGUUAAUGGUUGAAUCGGAUUUAGCGGACGUUGCUUGGUUUGUAAUGGGCCGUUGCUUAUGUUCUCCUAUUUGGAUUUCAUGUUUUUAUAGGUUGCUGGCAUUUUGAUUACCAAGGAGAAGACUGAACAGUUUUGAUAUUUGGAAGCUUGGAUUUUUGUUCUCACUCUUAGGAUUAGAUAAUCUGAAUUAUGACUACGCCAUGGGCUGAUUCUGUCGCUAGCUCAGCAUCAGACAAUGCUGGUUCAGGCGCUGGACGUUCUGCCUACGUCCCACCCCACCAACGUAAUAGACCACCAUCUGCUGCUCCUGCAGCUCAACCCUUUGCGGCAUGUGCCUCCUCCUGUAAAUACCUUUGCAGAGAUUGACUUGGGGGAUGCAGUAAAUCAAAAUAUACGGAGAUGCAAGUAUGUGAGACCAACACCCGUUCAGCGCCAUGCAAUCCCUAUAUUGCUUGCCGGACGUGACUUGAUGGCCUGUGCUCAGACAGGUUCGGGAAAGACUGCUGCUUUUUGCUUUCCGAUAAUUAAUGGAAUUAUGCGGGAUACUCAUAUACAGAGACCUCGUGCUCCUAGAACUGCAUUCCCUCUUGCUCUUAUUCUCUCACCUACAAGAGAGCUAUCUUCUCAGGUGGGAUAUGUUUAGAUUGCUCACCUAAAUUCUUUUAAUUCCUCUUCUGCGGUUGCUAAUUUAUUAUGUCUGGCUUUUAAUAUAAUUACA